AUCCAACCCACGAGUCCCAAAUAGGACGAAAUGCGCAUCCUGGAC
rnacentral:hammerhead_ribozyme from 1 species